rnacentral:lncRNA from 10 species
GGGUAAAGUGCAAACUUCCCCUUCACCAUCUGAAGGUUUGCUAAAAAUCAACAGGCAGAAGGCGAAUUAACAGGAGAAAUGGCAUGCCAAUUUGUUUGAUCACAGUUUUACAUGAAGAAUGAAGACCCAAAGACACAUGAGAAAUUGUCCAUUUUUAUGCAACACCAGACCAGGCGAUGCUCUAAGACAGGUACAACAAAGUAUGGACAUGCGUGUAGAAAUACGAGUCAACUAAAGGGUGUGAUCUACUGCUAAUAGGCUGAGUGGGGACACCCAGACUCUUCCUGGCCCCUGUGAGCAGCUUCCUUUCCUUCUGGUGUGGGGCAGGAACUUCUCUGGAAUGGGGAUCUUCUGACCCACAGUCAAACAAGAAUUGGACAGAAGUCACAUCAGGGAGACCAGAGACUAGAGUAUUGCAUCAUAGAGGAAAGACACUGAUGACAAGACCUCAGGGGAGCAGUGGAACUGGAGGCCUGGGAGCUUGGGACGUGUUCUCCGGGUGAAGUUGGCUGGCCAGCUGAUGACCUACACCAGUGCCAUUCACUCCUCAUGUGUCCCCCGGGAAUUCAUAGUGUGUGUCAUCAGGUUUACUAAUUCUCAUGAUGUUCUGCUAGAGAAAUAUGAAGAGGCAAUUUA